AGAGUUUGAUCAUGGCUCAGGAUGAACGCUAGCGGCAGGCUUAUUACAUGCAAGUCGAGGGGCAGCGCAGUGUAGCAAUACAUGGGCGGCGACCGGCAAACGGGUGCGGAACACGUACGCAACCUACCCAAAACUGGGGAAUAGCCCGGGGAAACCCGGAUUAAUACCUCGUAACCUAGUGGAGUGGCAUCACUUUAUUAGUAUAGCUCCGGCGGUUUUGGAUGGGCGUGCGCCUGAUUAGGUAGUUGGCGGGGUAACGGCCCACCAAGCCAGCGAUCAGUAACUGGUGUGAGAGCACGACCAGUCACACGGGCACUGAGACACGGGCCCGACUCCUACGGGAGGCAGCAGUAAGGAAUAUUGGUCAAUGGACGCAAGUCUGAACCAGCCAUGCCGCGUGAAGGAUGAAGGUCCUCUGGAUUGUAAACUUCUUUUAUAUGGGACGAAACCCGGGAAUUCCUUCCCGAUUGACGGUACCAUAGGAAUAAGCACCGGCUAACUCCGUGCCAGCCGCCGCGGUAAUAC
rnacentral:rRNA from 1 species